UUUCUGAAAAUUCAACUCUCUCCUCCUUCUCUCUUCAUUUUCUCUGAACCUUCUCUCUAAGAAACCACCCAUUUCAUCUCCUCCAUUCAGUAUUCGGACACCGUUGAAGGACGCUCGGCUCCAAGGACUUUCAGAGAAGAAGCUCGGUUGGUGAAGCUAGACUGAGGGAGACGAGCGUUUGGAGGAUGUUCUGAACGAAGAAAAUCUGGUUGAGUUUAAGUGAAGACUGAGCAAUGAGACGUUCGGCCAAUCCUUUAAUUCUAUUAUGUAUGACCGUUAGGUGUUUCCUGUGUGAACCGUUCGGUCAAGUUUUAAAUUUUACGUUCGAUUGAAAUUUGUAACUCUGAUAUGGACGUGCGGCUUUACGCGUUCGUUCCUUAUUGUUGUAAGACUGUAUUCAAGGACGUUCGUCCUUGAGCGUUCGUUUGGUUUUAAAUUUUUUUUUUAGUUGGAAAACUGUACUGUUUUAUUAUUAA